GACGAACGCUGGCGGCGUGCUUAACACAUGCAAGUUGAACGGAAAGGCCCUGCUUUUGUGGGGUGCUCGAGUGGCGAACGGGUGAGUAACACGUGAGUAACCUGCCCUUGACUUUGGGAUAACUUCAGGAAACUGGGGCUAAUACCGGAUAGGAGCUCCUGCUGCAUGGUGGGGGUUGGAAAGUUUCGGCGGUUGAGGAUGGACUCGCGGCUUAUCAGCUUGUUGGUGGGGUAGUGGCUUACCAAGGCUUUGACGGGUAGCCGGCCUGAGAGGGUGACCGGCCACAUUGGGACUGAGAUACGGCCCAGACUCCUACGGGAGGCAGCAGUGGGGAAUAUUGCACAAUGGGCGGAAGCCUGAUGCAGCAACGCCGCGUGCGGGAUGACGGCCUUCGGGUUGUAAACCGCUUUCGCCUGUGACGAAGCGUGAGUGACGGUAAUGGGUAAAGAAGCACCGGCUAACUACGUG
rnacentral:rRNA from 1 species